AAAAACACAAAACAAACCCCCCUCUCUCUCUCUCCCAGCACAAAAAAGAUACAAGAGAUAGAGGAGAUACAGAGAGGAGAGAAGAAAGAAAGAUAUAUCUAGGGUUUGGCUGCUCCGAUCUCAAUUUUGGGCCCAAAUUAAGGUUUUUCUCUGUUGAUUUCACCCUCAAGUCUUAGAUCGAGCGUUGGAUGAUCUUGCCAUGACGUCAUCUGAAGUCUCCGUGAAGGGAAAUGGAAGCAGUACGUAUUCCUCGGUCUCGAGCGACCGACGCUCCGCCGGAAAAGAUGCGGAGGAUGAGCUUUAUAAUGAGCUUUGGCAUGCGUGCGCUGGGCCUCUGGUGACCGUUCCGAGAGUUGGAGAGCUUGUGUAUUACUUUCCUCAAGGUCACAUAGAGCAGGUUGAAGCGUCCACAAAUCAGGUGGCUGACCAUCAGAUGCCAGUUUAUGACCUUCCAUCCAAAAUCCUUUGCCGUGUAAUGAACGUCCAUCUGAAGGCUGAAUCUGACACUGAUGAAGUUUUUGCACAAGUUACUCUUCUUCCUGAGCCAAAUCAAGAUGAGAAUGCCGUGGAGAAGGAGCCUUUGCCUCCAUCACUACCAAGACCUCAUGUUCAUUCCUUUUGCAAGACAUUGACAGCUUCUGACACAAGCACCCAUGGUGGAUUCUCAGUGUUGAGACGUCAUGCUGAUGAGUGUCUUCCGCCAUUGGACAUGGCUAAAAACCCUCCGACACAGGAAUUGGUUGCGAAGGAUUUGCAUGGGGUUGAGUGGCGAUUCCGUCACAUUUUUCGUGGUCAGCCAAGGAGGCAUCUUCUUCAAAGUGGUUGGAGUGUAUUUGUUAGUUCUAAAAGGCUUGUUGCUGGGGAUGCUUUUAUUUUUCUAAGGGGAGAAAAUGGCGAUCUACGUGUUGGAGUAAGACGUGCGAUGAGGCAACAGACAAAUGUUCCAUCUUCUGUCAUUUCGAGCCACAGUAUGCAUUUGGGUGUCCUUGCAACGGCAUGGCAUGCUGUUACUACGGGAACAUUGUUCACAGUUUAUUACAAGCCAAGGACGAGUCCUUCUGAUUUCAUUGUUCCUUAUGAGCAAUAUAUGGAGUCUCUCAAAAGCAACCACUCAAUUGGCAUGAGAUUCAAAAUGAGGUUUGAAGGUGAAGAGUCUCCUGAGCAGAGGUUCAGUGGCACCAUAGUGGGCAUAGGAGAUGUUGAUUCCAGCAGGUGGCCGGGGUCUAAAUGGAGAUGCCUCAAGGUCCGAUGGGAUGAAACAUCUUCCAUUCCUCGACCUGAAAGAGUUUCUCCAUGGAAGAUAGAGCCUGCUUUGGCUCCCCCGGUAAAUCCCCUUCCAGUACCAAGACCCAAAAGACCUCGAACUAACACGAUACCAUCGCCUGAUUCGUCUGUUUUUACGCGAGAAGGCUCAUUGAAAGUUACUGCAGACUCUUCCCAAUCACAUGCAAUGCCAAAAAUCUUGUCAGGUCAAGGUAUCACCUUGAGAAGCAACUAUGCGGAUACAAAUGAAGCUGAAGUCUCUCCUAAGCCCAUGAUGUGGCCUUCAUCAUGCAAUGAACAAAGAAAUGACGCCUGUCCGUCAAGAAGGUUGAGUUCCGAGAACUGGAUACAAGUGGGCAGACCUGAAUCUACCUACACUGACAUGCUCUCAGGGUUUCAAAAGUCCAGUGAAUCUCCCAGGUUUGCUUCAGCACAUUUUGAUCACAAAUCAGGUGAUAAGAAGUCUAUAAAGAACCAAUUUCCAGAUCAGGAAAGUGAGCUCAGCUUGCUUUCAGGUCAGUGGUCCUUAAUGUCUUCUAACCCUGCCUUCAAUCUGGAGUCUAAUCUAAAGAUGCCGACACAAGCUGUUAGAUAUGGAAUGGGAGGCUAUUCCUCGUUGCAGGGUCUAGCAGUUGAGGAAAAUCAUCCAUAUCGGUUCACACAUCUUUCUACAGAUAUGCGAAUGGAGAAUAUGUCACCUUCAGACUUGUUGAGACCUCAGUCUGUGGUAGCUUCACCCAACAAUGUAUCAGCAGCAGGAGGCGGCACCUGGAAGAUUUUUGGGUUUAAUAUUAAUAGCAAUCCUCCAAUACCUGACCCAGUAACUACACAGUCACAUUCCAUCUACGAGCUGGAGGCAUGUAGUCAGCAAACAGGAAUAUUGCAUCGUUCAUCAGAAGUCAUAGAGGCUGUUCAACCCUUUGAACCAUCCAAAAGUACCAAGUCAGUUGACUCUGCUUCAACAACUAAUGAACAGGAGAAGGGUCUUCAGCCAAGCCCACAGAUUGCUAAAGAUAUCUCGACCAAGUCCUUGGGCAGUUCAACAAGAAGCUGCACGAAGGUACACAAGCAGGGAAUUGCUCUUGGGAGAUCUGUGGACCUUUCGAGAUUCAACAACUAUGAUGAACUGAUUGCGGAGUUGGAUCGAAUGUUUGAGUUUGAGGGUGAAUUGAUGUCUCCUAGCAAAAAUUGGAUGGUUGUGUACACGGACAGUGAGGAUGACAUGAUGCUUGUCGGAGACGAUCCAUGGCAAGAAUUCUGUAGCAUGGUUCGGAAGAUCAAUAUCUACACAAAAGAGGAGGUUCAAAAGAUGAAUCCAGGAUCGCUGAGCCCAAGAAACAAAGAGACGUCAAGCGUCACAGACGAAAAAACAACUGAGAAAGAAAUGAAAAGCCCCUUGUUCCCAACUCCAGCUGCUAAUUCUGAGAAAAGCUAGUAACGUAAGUAAUCAACUGAACACGAUAUAGAAGAUUUUUGGAAUCAAAGUCCUUAAGGUUUCUGAGGGUUGAAGGACAAGAGUAUAUAUAAAUUGAAGGCUGCUUUUUGUGCGGCAAGGUGCAGGAGAGUGGGUCUUGGACUGGGAUUCCUUGCUUGACCGAAGGUGGAAUCUUCCAACUCAAGGCUCUAAUGAAAUGGUUUCCUUUUUCAAGAGACGGAGAGUAGCGGGCAGCUACGAGAGCAACAGGGACCUUGUUUAGAAAAUAUCGUUCCCUAUAUAUACUAUUACGUUAAAAGGGUUCCUGCCUAGGUUUUUAUGGAUCCGAGGUUGGCAAUCCUUUUUGAGGUUCUUUGUACAGCGAAUGCGACCUGUACGCUGGCUUUGGGAUCAAGGAUUAUUUUAUAGAAUGGGCUUGACGUUCUCUAAAGAAGACGACAUAGAAGAUGGUUAGUGCGCGCGGUCUGUCUGGGUUUUUAUUAGAUGGAAUUAAAAAGGUUGGUAUUAGCGUCUUGUUGGCACUGUGUGGAUCUUUUUUUAUAGUGGAAGUUUGCCGU